UAAGUGGGAAGGGAAAAAUUGUCAAGAAGGUAAGGGCUGAACCAUCAGGAUUUGGGGAAUUUUGGGGUUUGAGGCAGGGGAUGGAUAGAAAUGUCUAACUUUUCUCUCAUUAAAAUAGAAAUUAUUCAAGAAAGAAAAUGCACUGAAGAGCAAAUCUGUGAAAUUGAACUCUUCAUCCUGUUAAAAGGCCCCAAAACAUCAAACUGACUUAGCCAACUCCCAUCUCCAAAUGUGAUGCCCAGGUUGAACAAGGAAAAUCCUAUGGAUUAGAAGUUUCUAACUAGAAAUAGAAGCAGUAAAAAAGCGCAGAGGAUGUUUUGAGAAUUUGAGUUUUUACCAUGGCAAUGGUUACUAUAUAAUCACUGGUAUGAUCACGUGAGUAAAAAGGAAGACUCUGUGUAGGUUUAAACGGUCAUGAGUAUUUGCUGAACAAACCGGUUGGCCCGUCCAUGUUGCCUUUCAUCACCUGAUCCCACU
ensembl:lncRNA